GGAAAUGGUAGCAUCCACUGAGCCACUCUGAUUGAGUUUUGUGUUGCACCUCCAGCAAUGUAUUCAACAGUGGGCUUGGCUGCCAUUUCAUCAUACAUAGGCAAGUGCUUGUCCUCUGCAAGAAUUGCAUUGUUCGGCUUGAUUUCAUACUUGUUCAAGAAAUCUUGAUCUACAACAGCUGAGAUAUCGAGUAAUGGAUUUCCCA
rnacentral:misc_RNA from 1 species